CCCUUAGAUGUUCUGGGCCGCACGCGCGCUACACUGGUACGUUCAACAAGUUUACAACCUUGAUCGAUAGGUCUGGGUAAUCUUUUUAAUGCGUACCGUGCUAGGGAUAGAUUAUUGCAAUUAUUAAUCUUGAACGAGGAAUUCCUAGUAAACGCAAGUCAUCAGCUUGCAUUGAUUACGUCCCUGCCCUUUGUACACACCGCCCGUCGCACCUACUGAUUGAAUGACUCGGUGAAAAAUUGGGACUGUGGGAACAAUCGAUUCAGUUCGAAUGUACUCGUGGAAACUUUUUUUAACCUCGCCAUUUAGAAGAAGGUGAANUCGUANCA
rnacentral:rRNA from 1 species